GAUGAACGCUGGCGGCGUGCCUAAUACAUGCAAGUCGAGCGAACGGACGAGAAGCUUGCUUCUCUGAUGUUAGCGGCGGACGGGUGAGUAACACGUGGAUAACCUACUUAUAAUACUGGUAUAACUUCGGGAAACCGUAGCUAAUACCGGAUAAUAUUUUGAACCGCAUGGUUCAAAAGUGAAAGACGGUCUUUCUGUCUCUUAUAGAUGGAUCCUCGCUGCAUUAGCUAGUUGUUAAGGUAACGGCUUUACAAGGCAACGAUGCGUAGCCGACCUGCGAGGGUGAUCGGCCAGACUGGAACUGAGACACGGUCCAGACUGAUACGGGAAGCAGCAGGAGGGAAACUUCCGCAAUGGGCGAGAGACUGACGGCACAGCGCCGCGUGAGUGAUGAGGAUCGUCGGAUCGUGAAACUCUGUUAUUAGGGAAGAACAUAUGUGUACGUAACUGUGCACGUCUUGAAGGUACAUAAUCAGAGAGCCACGGCUAAAUAAGGG
rnacentral:rRNA from 1 species